UACGUAGGGUGCGAGCGUUAAUCGGAAUUACUGGGCGUAAAGCGUGCGCAGGCGGUUUUGUAAGACAGAUGUGAAAUCCCCGGGCUUAACCUGGGAACUGCGUUUGUGACUGCAAGGCUAGAGUACGGCAGAGGGGGGUGGAAUUCCACGUGUAGCAGUGAAAUGCGUAGAUAUGUGGAGGAACACCGAUGGCGAAGGCAGCCCCCUGGGCCUGUACUGACGCUCAUGCACGAAAGCGUGGGGAGCAAACAGGAUUAGAUACCCUGGUAGUCCACGCCCUAAACGAUGUCAACUAGUUGUUCGGAGAGGUAACUUUCUGAGUAACGCAGCUAACGCGUGAAGUUGACCGCCUGGGGAGUACGGCCGCAAGGUUAAA
rnacentral:rRNA from 1 species